rnacentral:ncRNA from 1 species
AAAAAGACAACUCGUUAAUUUACUUUGAUGAUAUCUAUUAAAUUAUACGGAAGGCCUUAUUCUUUAAAAGUAUUAUAAUGUAAAAUUACACACAAAAUACGUAGUAUUUAUGGCGAGACUCCCGAGGGAACAGUACUAGUUGAAGACUCUAGAAAUACUCACAGAUUUAUCUGUGCCGUAUUUCUGGCUGAAACUGUACCAUGGGAAGGGACCCAACACAGAGAAACUGAUUAAAUCAG